GGCUAUUUUCCAUAGGGCAAACGAACCACUGUGGCCAUAGUCGACCUAACCCUAACCUCUAGUCAGUAUAUUAGAGUCAUAAUUUUAGUGGUGCAAAGCCUGGACUAAUGGCCGACAAAACUAUAGAAAGUAGUGUUUCCCAAAUUAUGGCGGAGAGCUAUCUUUGCCACGAGUUUUCAGUGUCAUUGUCGUGCUAUAUAAAUGGUUUAUCGUUAGGAAUCAUAAUAAAUGAUUGCAGAAGACGAACUUUGUGUAUAUUUAUCAGAUUCAGGUUGCAUUGAUCUUAAUUCGUACUCGAAACCUGUUAUUUUUGGUAAUCAUCAUCCGGAUCAUUUACGUGAAUUGAAAGUUAAACACACUCCGUACCAUAAGGUGUGCUAUUCUGGAUACACAUUCAGGGACUACGGGAAAAUAUGAGCGACAGAUCUCUGGAGAAAAUUUGUUGACAGUUAUUUCAGCAAUCGAAGUUAUAUUUUCCACAGGCACAGGCAUUUCCCCAAACGGUAGGAGAAUUUUGAUAGAGAUUCUGCAUAUGACAGACUACAAUAUGUAAGGAGCAGUAGCGGAGUUAUCAACCAUUGUAUUGUAGUGUCUGUAGGACAACUACACAAGGACUUUUUCAACAAUAAAAACUGUCCACACUCAGCAAAAUGACUUGAACAUAAAAGGCUAAGCAUGUAUAUGCCGAUACGUCAUUCAACAUGUUCCACUCAAAGGAAAUGCUGCCUUUGCCCAACAAUAAUGAGAGUAUAGCUGAAAGUACUGUAUUACUACACUUGUGUAAGAAUGAGUAAUUUUAGAAACAAAAUGUAGAGUCAGCUUCAAUUUCGAACAAAAAAACUUCGAGAAAGAAUUGUAACACAGAUAAAGUGGCAUGAACAAAGUCGAACCCUUUGUGGCAAUGGAGGAAAUGAGACUGUCGGGAAAGUUUACCAGACAUAAAUUCUUGUCAGGUCAACUAAUCAGCUCCUACUUCUCUCGUUUUCAUCAACUCGAAAAGACAACAGAUGUUGAAGAUUAUGACUCGGAUGUUAAAGAAGAUGGAAAGAAAGCUAUCCGGUCAAAAAGUUCUUUCAAGUCUAAAUUGACAGCAGCCACUAAAGACAAAAUAUGACUACUUCCAUGGCCGACAAUUUAAAGUUAUCAGAAGACUUAAGAAAUAAUUUAUAGCAAAACCGUUUCUUACUUUGUUUUUUCACAAUGGGAGUUUUAGGUCAAGCAAGAGUAGUUAUUUCAUAUUACGUUUAACAGUCAGAUUGUAUAGUGUUUAAACAUGUCUUGCUAGAAAUUAUUGCUAUUCUGAUAUAUCUGGUAUGUAAAAGUUAUAUCAAACAUGACGGAACCGUUUAUUUUGCACAUGUAUGGCACCAAAUGUUAGGUCGUCACAUUCUUUGUCGGUACCAGAAAUGGUAUGCUUGCACAUUGAACUGGCGUUUCCAAUGUUGGCAAAACCCAUCUGAUAUUCCCCAUGCCAGAUGAAUUUCAUGCUGUUAAUGACAACUAGAGAUUCAUGCACAUAUCGUUUAUGUAAAAUUCGAAAAAGUCAGAUAUAUUGAUAGUUUCUCUACGUUCCUUGUAGUAUAUUUCUUGAUUCAAAAGAUGUUUCUUUAUGGUGAUAACACAACGUUACACUACAAAUGAUAAAGCUAAAAUGGAACUUUAUUAUUGUGCAUCCCUGAAAGGUCAUGACAUCACUUCUGCUUACAGACAUCUAUUUCUCGCACUUUACAAACUCUAAGAAAGAGUGCUACAAAGAAAGUAUUUCUAUUUGCUUUAUCUAUUUUUUCAUUUGUAAAAUACUGUGUGCAUGGAAACUAGUCUGUCAGAAUAUAAAACUUUAUGUAUAAGACAAGCAAGAAAAACCUCCAGUCAUGUGUUUAAAAUUCAGAUAGAAAUAUCCGUCCCUCGGCUACCUGAGCAUGGGUGCAUGGCAUUGAUGAUUGUAGAGUUGCCGCCCAAUGUGCAGGUGCCCUCGGGAUGGAUAUUUCUAUCUUAUUCGUAUAACAAAUGACAUAUAUUAUUAAUACAUCUUGCAGAAUAGUUCCAUUAAGGCGCAAAUGAAAGAGAAAGCGUACAGCAAAUAACUAGCUCAGGGUAUGUGUAAAUUAAUCAAGAAAAUUGUGUUUUGUGAUAUUUGUUUAAAAACAUGUUUUCUAAGUAAAAUAUUUUAUCAAAUUUGAAGCGCUGGUUCUUGAUAAAUACAUGGUGCUCCAUUGAAGUGACAUCAGCAUUAACAUAGAAACAUUAUGAAGGGGUUAUACCCAAGCAGAAUAAUUUCACAAGGGCCUAAGCGAAUAACACUGCAUAUAACAGUUUAGUUUUAUUAGCUCACCUGUCACGUAGUGACGGGGUGAGCUUUUGUGAUUGCCCUUUGUUCGUCCACAAUUUCUUGUCUGCACGAUAUUGGUUUCAUUUAUGAUUUUAUUUUAACCAAACUUGCACACAACUUGUAUCACAAUAAGAUCUUGGUUCCUUUCUGGAACUGACCAGAUCUUAUUAUGGGUUCCAGGGUUAUGGCCCCUGAAAGGGCCAAAAUUAGCUAUCUUGACCUUGUCUGCGCAAGAGCAGCUUCAUUUAUGAUUUGAUUUUUUAACCAAACUUGCACACAACUUUUAUCACCGCAAGAUCUUGAUUCUUUUAUUGAACUGGCCAGAAUCCAAUAUGGGUUCCAGAGUUAUGGCCCCUGAUAGGGCCAGAAUCAGCUAUUUUGACCUUGUCUGCACAAUAGCAGCUUCAUUUAUGAUUUGAAUUUAAACAAACUUGCAUAAAACUUGUGUCACCAUAUUAAGAUCUUGGUUCCUUUCUUGAACCGGCCAGAUCCCAUUUUGGGUUCCAGAGUUAUGAUCCCUGCAAGGGCCAAAAUUAGCUAUUUUGACUUUGUCUGCACAAUAGCAGCUUCAUUUAUGAUCUGAUUUUAACCAAAUUUGCACACAGCUUGUAUCACCAUAAGAUUUCAGUUCUUUCUUAUACGCCCUAAGAGACAUAUUAUGUUACCGCCUCGGUGUCUGGUCUGAAUGUCUGUCUGUCUGUUGGUUAGCGAUUUCAUUUCCACGCUGUAACUCUUGAACCAUUUGAAGGAUUUCAAAGAAACCUAAACAAAUGUUCACCUCAUGGAAAAGAUGUGCACAGCGCAUGUUUCAGAUGGCUCACUUCAAGGUCAAGGUCACACUUAGGGGUCAAAGGUCAUAUGACUUUGUUUUGUGUGUAUAUUGCUCUGCAUUUGCGUUGCAAUGCAUUGCUCUUGUUUUUUAGCUCGACUAUUCGAAGAAUAAGUAGAGCUAUCCUACUCACCACUGCAUUGGCGUCGGCAUCACACCUUGGUUAAGUUUUUCGUACCAGUCCAUUUCUUGACAAAUUCUUUUGAGAUAAAGCUUGGAAACUUUCAACAAUUGUUUACCAUCACCAUAGCCUGUUAUAGGCAAGAGCACAUAACUCUAUCAAGGAUUUUGGCUGAAUGAUGGCCCCGUUUGACUUAGAAAUCAUGGUUAAGUUUUUAGUACCAGUUCUUAUUUUGGCAGAGUCUUUUGAGAUAAAGCUUUGAAACUUUUAACACUUGUUUAGCAUCACCGUAUCUAGUUAUAGGCAAAUGUACAUAACUCCAUCGAGGAUUUUGGCUGAAUUAUGGCCCUUUUUGACUUUGAAAUCUUGGUUAAGUUUUUCGUACCAGUUCAUAUUUUAUGAAAACUUAUUGUAAAAAUAAAUAAUAAUAAUAUAAAACAAGAGGGCCAUGAUGGCACUAAGUUGCGCUCACUAGAGUAACACAACAUAGUUAUCCAGCUUUUGAAACCACAUGACCCAGUUACAAACUCGUCAGAGUUUUCAAGGAGAUAAACAUUCUGACCAAGUUCCCGGAAGAUUGGAGCAAAAAUGUGUUUUUCUUCGAUUUGGUCUAGAAACCUAGUUUUUUACCCAACCGGAGCUAAUUUUUAACAGCUUCAGCUUCCUCAGAUGUGCCCAAUUUUACUAUCCAGCAGUCGAGCGCAAGUUUUUUUUUUUUGUCUUCUGUGACAGCUUUUGUUAUCUAAGUCUUCAAAAUUUCCAGGGAAGCCUUUAAGUGGUUAAAAAUUUCAAACUAUUGACUUUCUAAAUGUCUGACGAUCCCUUGAACUAUAUUCCAGAAACUGGGCUGUGAAGUAAGAUUUUUCUGAAAGAUUAUUAAUUUCACUUACCAAAAAGUCGACCAAUCAUUUAUAGAGAAAUAUCUUUAAAAAUAUGGACCUGGAAGCAAUGCACAUGUCAAAAUGUUCAUAAACACCUUUGAAAUGGCUUAUUGUCACAGGGGCAAAAGUUGUUCUAAAUUACAUUUCGGCAUUUUCUGGUCGACGUUCUCACAAUCGAUCCAGUGUUAGCAGAGUACAAACAAGUAGUUCCAUGCCAUGCAUUUAGUCAGACAUCAAAGUAUAGUUACUUUGGCACGACGGUAUCUUCAGCUGUCGAACAUCAUAAAAUGCAAAAUUUUAACGUGUAAUUCAAUCAGUAAGAUAAACACUGCUGUUGUUUUUUCUAACUGCAGUAACAUAUUAGUAUACAAAAAAGUAGGACACCUGACAAACCGACAAACCUAUACAGGUAAGGGAAGUAACCCUGUUAGAGUAGAUAUAUAUGACUGACAAUGUGACAUUGUUACACCGCCCCUUACUGUAAGGUAGAAUCCUAACUGCAAAGGUGCGUCUUCGUAUGCCAGCAAAUAAGAAGGGUAUAAAUAGCCUACCACUAUGCAUUUAUCAGGCCGAUAUCUGCCUGCCGUGUAAACUUGAGCUUUCUAGAAAAAAAAACAAAAAAACAAAAACAAAAAAAAAACAAUAAUCCAGAGUUUUAAAUAAUGUUAACAUCCUGUUGAUUGAACCUUCUAGAAAAGCAUUGAAUAUAAUAUAUAACUUAAUAAUAGGGCUGUCAUUGAUUGGGUCUUUGGCAUAUCGACGAUACCGAUAUAUCGGAAGACAAAUAUCGACGAUACAUCGAUAUAUCGAUUAUUAAGUUAGAUUAAAAGCCUGUUUGUUCAUGGGCAUGCUAUAUACCUUCUUGUUAAUGUUAUGUUUAGUUUUAUUGCCUACUUUUUAUAUUACUGUUUGAUUGUGUUGUAUUUGUAUCUGUGAAAUAAAUAAAAUAAAUGAAAAUUAAUGAAAUCUUUUAUAGAUCUUCAUUGUGCCUUCACUCCUCUUUUGCAUUUAUCCUACUUUACAACCUAGUGAACUAUAAUACCAGGCACUGGAGUCGGGUUUCAAACAGCUAAAAUUCUGCAUUUCUCUUCCACAGAUAUCUAUUUAUUUAUUAAAUUAAUUAAUUUAUUUAUUUACCAUGUUUUUAUUUAUUUUUAGCCUGUUUCAUACCCUGUCUAAUUUUUACCUUGCACUUACAUUCGGUACUGGCAUCGCGUGUUUUUGUUUUUUGUUUUUUUUUUUUUUUUUGGUUUUCUUUUUUAACUUUUGCCCAAGUUUUCGAUGGGCCUCAAAUGUGUAGUGUUUGACUGUUUGUUUGUUGUACUGAAAGGCAUGUUUAAGCAACACCCUGUGUUUCUACGAACUCAAACAAAGCUUUUCUUUCCGUCUUUCGACUCUUUUUCCACUAUUUAAGCCAGCGACGGCUUCCUCUUCGGCCAUUUUUGAUUGUUAUUGUUACGGACACUAGCUAAAUUCUGUACCUUUUUACUGAGUGAUCAGCUAUACGCGAACAAGUAAAAAGCCGAGAUUGACGUAGAAACAGUAUAUACACUAUGUUUUUACAUGCACAAACAACGAAGCGACCUUUCAAGACAGGACAACGUAACUUUUUGCAAAUAGAUUCUGAAGUUGAGCCCUUUUUACUUCUACCCAUAUAGGUAGUGCCGGCUAGUGGGAAAAGACUGCUACGGUACAAGUUUAGACAUGACCUUUUUUGACAACUUCCGUUACUUACGGCACAUUUUUGCAGGCAGAAAAAGUUGUUUUAGAGGGUCUGAGUGUUUAUCUAGACAGUUGUUUUUUCUCUCUGUAAAAUAUCGAUUUUUGAAAAUGGGAAUCGAUAAUCGAUCGACCAAAAAAUAUCGUUGAUACAUCGAUAUCGUUUCUAUCGAUGACA